CCUACGGGAGGCUGCAGUGAGGAAUAUUGGUCAAUGGACGAGAGUCUGAACCAGCCAAGUAGCGUGAAGGAUGACUGCCCUAUGGGUUGUAAACUUCUUUUAUAAAGGAAUAAAACGAGGCACGUGUGCCGUUUUGCAUGUACUUUAUGAAUAAGGAUCGGCUAACUCGGUGCCAGCAGCCGCGGUAAUACGGAGGAUCCGAGCGUUAUCCGGAUUUAUUGGGUUUAAGGGGAGCGUAGAUGGUUUGUUAAGUCAGUUGUGAAAGUUUGCGGCUCAACCGUAAAAUUGCAAUUGAUACUGGCAGUCUUGAGUACAGUUGAGGUAGGCGGAAUUCGUGGUGUAGCGGUGAAAUGCUUAGAUAUCACGAAGAACCCCGAUUGCGAAGGUAGCUUACUAAACUGUGACUGACAUUGAUGCUCGAAAGUGUGGGUAUCAAACAGGAUUAGAUACCCUUGUAGUC
rnacentral:rRNA from 1 species